rnacentral:lncRNA from 1 species
GCUGUUUCAAAAGGGAGGCAAGGCAGAGAAGCACAGAACAUUGUUCGAGUGAGUACACCCAUCCCUUGGAAUUAUGGUUAAAUAGUUAAUGUUUGUUUUGCAACUGAGUGUUGGGCUACCUUUGCAGCUUUACUUGGCAAACAUGUGUCUCAAGAAUGCAGCAACUGAUGUAGUUAUCACCGCAUAUGGGCCGCUCUUGAUAAAGUAAGCUUUGUAGAUCACUAUGACACACUUCCUCUGGUUAAUGGAAUUUUAUAAACCAGUCUUUUAUACUAAUAUAUUUUGUUACCUUCUCAAGUAGAAAGUGUUGUUCAGAUUUAUCAUCAUAGAGAGUACUAUUUAUCAUCAUAGAGAGUACUGUUCAUCAUAGAGAGGAGGUGGGUGAGGAGACGAGG